CAGUCGCCACGGGAAUACGAAGGGGGCUAGCGUUGCUCGGAAUUACUGGGCGUAAAGGGAGCGUAGGCGGACAUUUAAGUCAGGGGUGAAAUCCCAGAGCUCAACUCUGGAACUGCCUUUGAUACUGGGUGUCUUGAGUGUGAUAGAGGUAUGUGGAACUCCGAGUGUAGAGGUGAAAUUCGUAGAUAUUCGGAAGAACACCAGUGGCGAAGGCGACAUACUGGAUCAUUACUGACGCUGAGGCUCGAAAGCGUGGGGAGCAAACAGGAUUAGAUACCCCUGUAGUCCCUGUCUCUUAUAC
rnacentral:rRNA from 1 species